UCUAUAACCACAAACUGUCAAAUUCCUUUAGUUUACUUGUUUUAUUUUAUUUAAUUCAGUGGCCACAAAUAUUAUAUCAAAUUGAACAUAAGUUGACAUAUUUCUUGAAUUAGGUGUUAAUAUAUUUCAUUCAAAAUGGGUAAAGGAUUUAAUAAUUAUAUGAACAAAAAGUUCUUUCAUCCAGCAUCUCGAGAUAAUUUAAAAAGGGUAUGGAUGGCAGAACAGAAGUCAGAAGCAUAUAAAAAGAAGCAAGAAGAAUUACGAAUGCAAUAUGAAAAAGAGCAGGAUUUAUAUGAUAACAAGGCUAUGCUAAGUAAAGAUAGUAAAGAUAAGUUAUCCGUUAACUUUAUGUAUGAGCCUCCACCAGGAACUAGAAAAGAGACAACAAAUGACCCAAUUGGAACUGAAGAAGUACGUUUUGAAUGGCAACGAAAAUAUCAGGCGCCUCGUGAAAGUUAUUGCAAAGGUGAUGUGCAAGUUAGAGAUCAGCCUUUUGGCAUUCAAGUUCGAAAUGUUCGAUGUAUUAAGUGCCACAAAUGGGGACAUAUCAACACAGAUAAGGAAUGUUCAAUGUAUGCUCUCAGCAUGUCAGAAGCAAGGGAAAUACAUUCCAAGAAUUUGAUUAAUGAAUCUACAUCUGUUAGAGAUAAUUUGUCAUUAGAGCAGCAAAUGCUUUCUGAUGGUCUGGCAUUGAAAAAAAUUGCAACAAAAACAUCACAUCAUGACCUUAUUGAAGAAACCCCUUCAGUAUCUCAUGAAUCUAAUGACCACACAGAAAAAGAAUUUAUAAAAGGAUUAACAACUAAGCAAAAGAAGGACUUGUUGAAGCGAUUAGAAAAGUUAGAGAAACGCAGUUUGAAAAAGUCAAAAAAGUCAAAAAGUAAACGAAAAAUAUCUGAAAGUAGUUCAUCAGAUUCUUCAAGUUCCGAUGAAGACAAAAAGCAUAAACAUAAAAAGCACAGAAAGCGGGAUGAUGACAGAAAACACAAACAUAAGUCAAAAAAGAGUCACAAAUAAUGUGUUUGGAGAAGCAGUUGGACAAAGUAAUCGUCAGGAUGACCCAAAAUUGAACUCUCUAUCCCGCCUGAUGCUUUUGUAAUGGCUAACUUUUUCUUCACCAGGCUUAAUGGACUGUUCCUGCGAUGGGUUUGGAUUAUUUAGUUGUUCUUCUGCUUUGGCCUCCAUUGUGAAUUGUGAGGAAUGGGCAGCGUCAAAAAUUUUCCGGGAAUCCAAAAAUAAAAGUUAAUAUA